rnacentral:misc_RNA from 1 species
AACGCACCUUGCGCUCCUUGGUAUUCCUCGGAGCAUGCCUGUUUGAGUAUCAUGAAAUUCUCAAAGCAAGUCUUUUGUUAAUUCAAUCGGCUUUGUUUUGGACUUGGGGGUUUGCAGAUUCACGUCUGCUCCUCUUAAAUGCAUUAGCUGGAUCUCCAUGAACUUGGUUCCACUCGGCGUGAUAAGUAUCAUUCGCUGAGGACACCUGUAAAAAGGUGGCCAGGGUUGAGGAUGAGCCGCUUCUAACGGUCCAUUUAAUUGGACAAUUAAACUUAUGAUCUGAUCUCAAAUCAGGUAGGACUACCCGCUGAACUUAA